rnacentral:rRNA from 1 species
UACGGGGGGAGCAAGCGUUGUUCGGAUUUACUGGGCGUAAAGGGCGCGUAGGCGGCCACUGCAAGUCAGUUGUGAAAUCUCCGGGCUUAACUCGGAAAGGUCAACUGAUACUGCAGGGCUAGAGUGCGGAAGGGGCAACUGGAAUUCUCGGUGUAGCGGUGAAAUGCGUAGAUAUCGAGAGGAACACCUGCGGCGAAGGCGGGUUGCUGGGCCGACACUGACGCUGAUGCGCGAAAGCCAGGGGA